UACGUAGGGGGCAAGCGUUGUUCGGAAUUACUGGGCGUAAAGGGCGCGUAGGCGGCAGGAGAAGUCGGGAGUGAAAGCCCGGGGCUCAACCCCGGAACGUCUCUCGAAACUGACCAGCUAGAGUGCGGAAGAGGCAACUGGAAUUCCCAGUGUAGCGGUGAAAUGCGUAGAUAUUGGGAAGAACACCUGAGGCGAAGGCGGGUUGCUGGGCCGACACUGACGCUGAGGCGCGAAAGCCAGGGGAGCGAACGGG
rnacentral:rRNA from 1 species